CAAUAGCGUAUAUUAAAGUUGUUGCAGUUAAAAAGCUCGUAGUUGGAUUUCUGGUGGGAGCGAUCGGUCUGGCGCUUAGCGCGAGUACUUGCAUCGUUUCCGGCCAUCCUUGGGGAGAGUCUGUCUGGCAUUAAGUUGUCGGGCAGAGGAUCCUCAUCGUUUACUGUGAAAAAAUUAGAGUGUUCAAAGCAGGCUUAUGCCGUUGAAUAUAUUAGCAUGGAAUAAUAAGAUAGGACUUUGGUACUAUUUUGUUGGUUUGCGCACCAAAGUAAUGAUUAAUAGGGACAGUUGGGGGUAUUCGUAUUCCGUUGUCAGAGGUGAAAUUCUUGGAUUUACGGAAGACGAACUACUGCGAAAGCAUUUACCAAGGAUGUUUUCAUUAA
rnacentral:rRNA from 1 species